AACGAACGCUGGCGGCAUGCCUAACACAUGCAAGUCGAACGGGAUCCAGGCUUCGGCCUGGUGAGAGUGGCGGACGGGUGAGUAACACGUGGGAACCUGCCUUUUGGUUCGGGAUAACCGCGGGAAACUGCGGCUAAUACCGGAUGCUCCCGAGAGGGGAAAGAUUUAUCGCCAGAAGAGGGGCCCGCGUCCGAUUAGGUAGUUGGUGAGGUAAUGGCUCACCAAGCCGACGAUCGGUAGCUGGUCUGAGAGGAUGAUCAGCCACACUGGGACUGAGAUACGGCCCAGACUCCUACGGGAGGCAGCAGUGGGAAUAUUGGACAAUGGGGGCAACCCUGAUCCAGCAAUGCCGCGUGAGUGAUGAAGGCCUUAGGGUUGUAAAGCUCUUUUGCCAGGGAAGAUGAUGACUGUACCUGGAGAAUAAGCCCCGGCUAACUUCGUGCCAGCAGCCGCGGUAAU
rnacentral:rRNA from 1 species